UACGUAGGGGCCAAGCGUUGUCCGGAUUUAUUGGGCGUAAAGAGCUCGUAGGCGGUUCGGCAAGUCGAAUGUGAAAUCUCCACGCUCAACGUGGAGGGGUCAUUCGAUACUGCCGUGACUUGAGUACGGUAGGGGAGUGUGGAAUUCCCGGUGUAGCGGUGAAAUGCGCAGAGAUCGGGAGGAACACCCGUAGCGAAGGCGGCACUCUGGGCCGAUACUGAUGCUGAGGAGCGAAAGCGUGGGGAGCGAACAGG
rnacentral:rRNA from 1 species